GAAAGGUGAAAAGCACCCCGAGAGGGGAGUGAAACAGUACCUGAAACCGUGCGCCCACAAGCAGUCGGAGCACCCAUGCGGUGUGACGGCGUGCCUUUUGUAGAAUGAGCCAGCGAGUUGCGGUGCGCGGCGAGGCUAAGCCUCCAAGCGAGCCGAAGCGAAAGCGAGUCUUUAAGACGGCGACAAUGAGUCGCGCGCCGCAGACGCGAAGCCGGGUGAGCUAUCCAUGGGCAGGCUGAGGCGGGGGUAAGACCCCGUGGAGGGCCGAACCCACCUGGGUUGAAAACCGGGGGGAUGACCCGUGGAUAGGGGUGAAAGGCCAAUCAAACCCGGAGAUAUCUCGUUCUCCCCGAAAUAGCUUUAGGGCUAGCCUCGGGCGCUCUCCCGCGGCGGUAGAGCACUGGAUGUUCGAGGGGGCCUCACCGCCUACCGACAACAACCAAACUCCGAAUGCCGCGGGACCGUGAGCCCGGGAGUCAGAGCAUGUGGGCUAAGCUGUGUGCUCGAGAGGGAAACAGCCCAGACCGCCCGCUAAGGCCCCCAAUUCCGCGUUAAGUGGCAAAGGAUGUGCGUCUGCCCAGACAACCAGGAUGUUGGCUUAGAAGCAGCCAUGCAUUCAAAGAGUGCGUAACAGCUCACUGGUCGAGUGGACAUGCGCCGACAAUUCACGGGGCUCAAGCGCGGAGCCGAAGCGGCGGACUGAACAGUCAGUGGUAGGGGAGCUUCCCGCGGGGGGAGAAGCGGGCCGGGCGACGGCCCGUGGACCGCGCGGGAGUGAGAAUGCUGGCAUGAGUAACGAGAGCAGGGCGGGAAACCCUGCCGCCGUGAGCCCAAGGUUUCCUGGGGAAGGCUAAUCCCCCCAGGGUCAGUCGGGAGCUAAGCCGAGGCCGGCAGGCGUAGGCGAUGCACAACGGGUCGACAUUCCCGUACCCCCGCGGGCGCGUUUGCACGAUGGGGCGACGGAGAGGGGUAGCCGGGCGGGGUUCUGGACGUCCCCGUGAAAGGGUGUAGGGCGCCAUCGCAUGGAAAUCAGCGACGGCACGUGCCUGAGACCCGAGACGAAGCCGCCAUAGGCGAAGCCGGUGAGCCCAUGCUUCCGAGAAAAACCUCUAAGGAGGGCCCGCGGGGCCCGUACCAAAACCGACACAGGUGGGCGGGUAGAGAAUACCGAGGCGAUCGGGAGAACCAUGGUUAAGGAACUCGGCACAAUGACCCCGUAACUUCGGGAGAAGGGGUGCCCCUGGGCGUGGAGGGACUAGCUCCCCGAGCGCGCGGGGGCCGCAGCGAAACGGCCCAAGCGACUGUUUACCAAAAACACAGGACUCUGCCAAGCCGCAAGGCGAAGUAUAGGGUCUGACGCCUGCCCGGUGCCGGAAGGUUACGCGGAGGAGUCAGCCGAUGAGGCGAAGCCCCGAAGCCAAGCCCCGGUAAACGGCGGCCGUAACUAUAACGGUCCUAAGGUAGCGAAAUUCCUUGUCGGGUAAGUUCCGACCUGCACGAAUGGCGUAACGACUUGGGCGCUGUCUCAACCAUGGACCCGGUGAAAUUGCACUAUUCGUGAAGAUGCGAAUUACCCGCGGAAGGACGGAAAGACCCCGUGAACCUUUACUGCAGCUUGACAUUGAUUGUUGAUUUAAUAUGUAGAGGAUAGGCAGGAGGCUUUGAAGCCGGUGCGCCAGUGCUGGUGGAGCCACCCUUGGAAUACUGCCCUUGUUACUUUAGCAAUCUAACGUGUGGCCGUAAUCCGGCAUGCGGACCGUGUCAGGUGGGUAGUUUGACUGGGGCGGUCGCCUCCUAAAAUGUAACGGAGGCGCGCGAUAGGUCCGCUCAGAACGGUUGGCAAUCGUUCGUAGAGUGCAAGAGUAUAAGCGGGCUUGACUGCGAGACUGACAAGUCGAGCAGAUACGAAAGUAGGUUCUAGUGAUCCGGCGGCUCAGAGUGGAAUGGCCGUCGCUCAACGGAUAAAAGGUACUCCGGGGAUAACAGGCUGAUCUUGCCCAAGAGUCCACAUCGACGGCAAGGUUUGGCACCUCGAUGUCGGCUCAUCGCAUCCUGGGGCUGAAGUCGGUCCCAAGGGUAUGGCUGUUCGCCAUUCAAAGCGGUACGCGAGCUGGGUUCAGAACGUCGUGAGACAGUUCGGUCCCUAUCCUCCGCGGGCGCAGGAGAGUUGAGGGGAUCUGCCCCUAGUACGAGAGGACCGGGGUGGACGGACCUCUGGUGACGCGGUUGUCGGCCAACGGCACCGCCGCCUAGCUACGUCCGGAACGGAUAACCGCUGAAGGCAUCUAAGCGGGAAGCCGGCCCCAAGAUGAGCUCUCCUUCUGGUAAGGCCCCUGGUAGACCACCAGGUUGAUAGGCCGCAGCUGCAAGGCGUGCGAGCGCCUCAGGCGAGCGGUACUAAUCGGCCGAGCUCUUCACUCC
rnacentral:rRNA from 1 species